rnacentral:rRNA from 1 species
UACGUAGGGGGCUAGCGUUGUCCGGAAUCAUUGGGCGUAAAGCGCGUGUAGGCGGCCCGGUAAGUCCGCUGUGAAAGUCGGGGGCUCAACCCUCGAAAGCCGGUGGAUACUGUCGGGCUCGAGUGCGGAAGAGGCGAGUGGAAUUCCUGGUGUAGCGGUGAAAUGCGCAGAUAUCAGGAGGAGCACCGAUUGCGAAGGCAGCUCGCUGGGACGUUACUGACGCUGAGACGCGAAAGCGUGGGGAGCAAACAGG